AAUUAUUAACAGAUUACUUUUAUUAUAAAUAUACAGUGUUAAAAUGGAAUGGUACCUGACACUGCUAGCUGUUUACAGAAACAAAAACAAAAAGGAAGUUCUGUUUAACACAAUCAGUCGAGAAGGUUUAAAAACAAACUCCUGCUGUUCAAAUCAUACAUCUCGGGGAAGCGUUCGUUCUCUUCGGUCGACUCAGACCAAAAGUUCAACUCAGUUUGUAGAGAAAAGAACACGAGACGCUUCUGCUGAUCCAGGGUUCCUUUCCAUUGAAAAAACAAACAAAAAUGAAACGGGACAGAAAUCAUGAAAAAAACAAACAAACAAACGUGUCAGGUGAUUUAAAAAUGAGAUCACAGGCAGAUGUGAGUGAGACAUUCGUCAGUGUGUAACAUCCAAGAGUUUUUAAAGGUGCCACAAGCAGCAUUUUUAACACCUGGAAACAUUUAAUUUCUCUGCCAAAGAGGACCGUACAAGGGAAAUCCCCUCUCUGUGAUGUCAUACAGAGCCAGGAGGACUUGAACGUAGACCGAGUCCAACAUUUGAAACUUUGAUCUUCUCCUGGGGGAGAUGUGCAGCAAGAAAUAAAGAAAAUCACAUAAGUAGAAACAACAACGUCCCAGUUUUUUAAAUCUGCUUAAUUCUUACUCAGUUUAAAAAUUUUAUAAUAUUAUUUUGAAACACUUGGCAUUUUAUUAGGCCAAACAUUCAAUAGUUUAUUAAAAAAUACUUGAUUGAUUAAAAUAGUCAUCUUUAGGAGCAUCUGACAUUCUGUAGUUAAUUGUUUGACAUUGAUAUAGAAGCCAGAGAAAAGGUUUCUCUCUUUUUAACAGUCACAUUGAUGCAGCAACUUCAGACGUUAAAAUGUGGCGUGCAGCACCUUUUAAAAAAGAUUUGAUCAUUUGUCUUCAUGAAUGUCCAUCCGGCUACUCGGUGUCCUCGUUAGGUCCAGUUUGCUCCAACAGACGGAGCUGAGCGAGCGUCCUGCUGUCGCCUCCAACACCGUGGCUUUACCUCAUUUCACCCAACAGGUCAAAGAAACGUCAUCCGACUGCAGGAGCCGUUGUUCAAGUCAAUGUUGUGAAGGCUAAUGAGCUCAUUCGCCUGCAAGUAUCAACUCCAAUCCAAAGUAUCAGGCACUUAAAUUUGAAGAACUUUACAGAAAUGAGCGGUGCCGUUUGAGUCUUGAUGCUGGAGUAGUGUGCAAAACACUGGAUAUAAGAUCUGCUGAACAUGCAUAACAAAAUGUAAACAUCGGAAAAUUUAAGAUCAAAUGGGAAAAGAAAAAAAGACUGAAAUUAUAUCUAAAGAAACUUUAACAAACUCAGUUUAAAUAACCAGAAAAAAACCUCCUCUCACACUGGUUUCACCUGAUUCUCUAGCUCUAAACUAGAAGAGCUUCACCUGACCUUGCCUCGUCAACAUACAAUAAAGUCAGCUAAAAAUAAAAACAGAUUUAAGAGAUUAAAGAGAAAACUGGUCCAGUGGAGUUAUGGUUUGACUGGGAGGCGCCCAGUGAGAAGCUGAGGUGAAUCAAAGUGAACGAGGUCCUACGACAGAGGAAGACGAGUCGAUUCAAAGGUCAGGAUGAUAUACCGGUGAGUAAAGUGAUUUUGUGAAGAAGAAGAAAGUUUUGUGAAGUUAACUGCACUUAAAACACCUGCUUUUUGGCAGCGAAGGUACCCUUAGUGACAAGUUUUGGCACCUCAGUAUUAAGCGAUAAAGACGUGGAUUGAAAAUCAUUGAAAUAGCUUCGGGGUUCUUCCAAGAGACCACCCUCGCUAACAUUUGAUGCAAACCCAGUCAUUUUAUUUGUUUUGAAAUGUGACCUCAUCUUCAUGGGUUACUCCUGGGAUGCUUUUAAGGGGUAAACAGUCAAGUCAUCUGCAUACAUGCAACUCUACUGUAGGCUUUACUGGCUGCUGCCCCUCAGGAGGCUUACAGAAGUUGGACAAUCAGAGGAAAGCAGUCUUUUAGGGAGGGUUUCCUUAAAGACACUGGAGCUAAAACAGCUUGUUUUAGACAUAUGAUAAAGUUAAGGCCCAGUUUAAUAAAAAUAAGGAUUAUUUUGAGUCAUGCAAAGCUGCUCUGGUAGAGUUCAAGAAUAAAAAUAAAGAGCUGGAAAUGAGCAGAAUGGGUCCCCCUUUGAUAAAGUCCUAAAUUGUGAGUUAAAGUAAGCGGUACAGCUCGCCAAAAGCUAAAGUUGCAGGUGGAAAACUUUCACACAACCACUUCUGUCACGUUUCUUGUGUAAAAUCGAGUGUAAAGCCUGAAAAGACACACUGCGCCUGCAGGACUAUAAAUCUGAGAGUACAUGCGGUUUUUGGAAAUGUUUGGAGGUUGUAUGAACUCGUUCCCUCUGAAGCGCCUCACCUACAAUAAAUAAAGGUGUGCUGAUAGGAAGAAGCAGAGCCAUUAUGUACAGUAGUUACCCUGUUCUCACUGUUGUUACUGCAUGAAGGGGAAUAUGACCUUGUAGUAUUUACCGGUAUUCACCAUCGUCUCCUGGUUACUGCUCAUUUUCCCCACAAGUGAAGAAGAAAAUCCUGAAGUCCUAAAACUACGACAGAGGUUACGGAAAAGUCCCGGUCGAGUACUUU
ensembl:lncRNA